CUACGGGAGGCACCAGUGGGGAAUAUUGCACAAUGGAGGAAACUCUGAUGCAGCCAUGCCGCGUGUGUGAAGAAGGCCCGAGGGUUGUAAAGCACUUUCAAUUGGGAGGAAGGUUAGUAAGUUAAUACCUUACUAGCUUGACGUUACCUUUAGAAGAAGCACCGGCUAACUCUGUGCCAGCAGCCGCGGUAAUACAGAGGGUGCAAGCGUUAUUCGGAAUUACUGGGCGUAAAGCGCGCGUAGGCGGACUGUUAAGUCGGUUGUGAAAGCCCUGGGCUCAACCUAGGAAUUGCAUCCGAUACUGGCAAUCUAGAGUUUAAGAGAGGGAAGGGGAAUUCCAGGUGUAGCAGUGAAAUGCGUAGAUAUCUGGAGGAACAUCAGUGGCGAAGGCGCCUUCCUGGCUUAAAACUGACGCUGAGGUGCGAAAGCGUGGGUAGCGAACGGGAUUAGAUACCCCCGUAGUC
rnacentral:rRNA from 1 species